AAUUAAAAAGUAGUUGCACACAAAAUGGCAAUCACAAAUUAAAAUAAGUCAUAUAUAGAUUGAAAUUUAGAUAUAUACCUAAAUUUGAAAGAGAUUUGAAUCUAACUAUUUAAUUUUCAGUGGUCUUUAUGAAUUUAAGAAUUAGGGUUUUCUCUGUUUAGAGUUGAAAAUCUUGAAAUUGAAAGAAAAAAAAAUUGAAAAAAGAUUGAAAAAAAUUGAAAAAAUUGAAAAAAAAAAUCAAGAAUUGGGCCCUUAAGAAUUGUUUUUGACC
rnacentral:lncRNA from 1 species